rnacentral:rRNA from 1 species
GACGAACGCUGGCGGCGUGCUUAACACAUGCAAGUCGAGCGGUAAGGCCCUUUCGGGGGUACACGAGCGGCGAACGGGUGAGUAACACGUGGGUGACCUGCCCUCAGCUCUGGGAUAAGCCUGGGAAACUGGGUCUAAUACUGGAUAUGACUCCACGGUGCAUGUCGUGGGGUGGAAAGCCUUGUGCGGCUGAGGAUGGGCCCGCGGCCUAUCAGCUUGUUGGUGGGGUGANGGCCUACCAAGGCGACGACGGGUAGCCGGCCUGAGAGGGCGACCGGCCACACUGGGACUGAGACACGGCUCAGACUCCUACGGGAGGCAGCAGUGGGGAAUCUUGCGCAAUGGGCGAAAGCCUGACGCAGCGACGCCGCGUGAGGGAUGACGGCCUCGG